rnacentral:lncRNA from 1 species
CCUCCCUCCCUCCUAGGCUACAGGGUCUACCACGCUCCAGCCUGACAGACAGCGAUGGCAGACAAGCCUCAAAGUACCCCCACACUCCCUCCCUCCCCCAUUCCAUGUGGAACCAGGGGCUGUCUGCCUCUCCUCUAGCUCCAUCCCCAGUCUCACUUUGUCAGGUAACUGUCUGUGUAUUGACUGUUCUCAACAGGGGCGUCUGCCUCUCCUCUAGCUCCAUCCCCAGCCUCACUGUCUCAGGUAACUGUCUGUGUAUUGACUGUUCUCAACAGGGGCUGUCUGCCUCUCCUCUAGCUCCAUCCCCAGCCUCACUGUCUCAGGUAACUGUCUGUGUAUUGACUGUGCUCAACAGGGGCUGUCUGCCUCUCACUGCACAUCUUCAGGUCACCGCUAUCUACUCAUGGAGAGAUUGUAUUACUAACAGAAUCCCAGGCCCCCAAGUAGCUCACAGUGGAUAUAGUCUACUCUUCUUUAGACUUUGUAAAUUCUCUCUCUCAUACUCCCUCCCUCUACUUCCCUCGCUUCCUGUCCUGUUAUCUCCCCCUUUUUCCUGCCUUCUUUCUUUUAUGCAGUCUCCCUCCCUCUUUUAUCCCCCCUCUAUUUUUUUCUCGUUCCCGCUCUCCCUCGUCCAAUAAGCAAACAAAUAUUACUUCCUGUGCCGUUGACUCGGUCGUUGUGAUUUGCCGUGGUUGUCAGGUUGGAUAUGGAGUAACACCGCGUGCAUCCCUUUUUCCUCCCUAUGAAAGGGAGGCGGAAGAGAGGCCUGUGUUCUGGGGGGGAUUACCACCCGUGUUGCCUGGCUGCCGGCUUCCAUUGUGUGCGGUGUCACAGCGAUGCAGCGUGUCCAUGCCAGGAUGGCUCCCAUGUGGCUCACAUCAGGGCUCAGUGCCCGCUGCCAUGUUGUUCCUGCUUCCUGGGUAGAGGGGGCAAUCCUCAUUCACACUACCACCCCCCUGUCGUUUCUACUAACCUUGAGUGUCUGGACAGUGUCCAGUGUCACUUUCUUGAUUGAGGGUAAAUACCCUUGGGGAGUUAGAGCGUGUGGACAACGUGGACCUGUAAGGCUUAUGAGCCGAUGCAACACAUCUUUCAUUGUUUCAUGGUCCUGCUUCCUCAUUAGCAAAAGGCUCCAAAAUGGUGAGAAUAUUGGAUGUGGGUGUACCUUUAUUUGGUAUUACACGCGUGUGUGCGUGUGUGUGUGUGUGUGUGCAUUUGCUGCCUGCAAGCCCUCUCUGUGCCUAUGUUGAAAGGGAGCAUUCAAAGCCUCUGACCGUGAGGACACACCCUAGCUGGUAAGAACACAACUUCAUUUCGAGCGGAGGUCUUGGACAGAGUAGCGAGACGUCCCCUUCAACACCUCUGGCUAGUCCCUGCUGCGGUAUCAGACUCGCAACAAUCAGCGCCAUCCUUUAUCCCCCCCACCACACACACAGCCUUGUCCGCUCCAAUGAGAUGCAAAUGUAGGGGCUUGAGGCUUAGUGGACGCCCAGCCACAGGAGGAGGGGACGGAAAAGGAGUGUGUGUGUGUGUGGGGGGCGGCAUAGACUUACCACCAAACCCAGCAGACAAACAGAAUUCACGGUAGG